UUGUUUUUCUUUUCCUUAAUGUUUCAAAAAUUUCAUGUAACUCAAUUAGAUUACAAUAAGGCCAUCUGCAGAUAAAUGUGAGGCAGAGUUGUUAAGCAAGAAAUAUGAGGAGAAGUACAAACAUUGUAGCGGAAAUAACAUCCAAAUUGAUUGUUGAAGAAGCUAAAUUUCGUGAUAUACAGGAGAAAAGAGGGAUUGCACGGGGAUUUAGUUUAAGCCACCUGGGUGUUGGGUUUCACUUCCAUGGUUGAAGGUGGUCAAGUUAGCCAUCUUCACAUGCUUCUUGUGUUCUGCACUCUUCCUCUUAGUUGUCCUUUUUUUGUCUUUACCUUUAUUUCACUCAAUUCUUUUACUUUCACAAUUAAACUUUAUUAAUACCUACAAUUUUCCAGAUCUUGACUCUCAAUAUCUAUUUACUUUGGUAUUCUUCAACUAAAUGACUUUAUCUAUUAAUACCUACAAUUAAACUUAAUGUCAUUUCCAAAACAGUUUGUGAAAACAAGUUUUUGAAUAAAUAAUAGAUCUAUAAACUAUCUAAACAAAAAUAAAUUUAUUUAUUACUUUUCUUUUUGGGGUGUCAAGAAACAAAAUUAACUUUUAAUAACAUCACUUUAGAAAUAGUGAGGAAUUGAUGGGAAUUGGGGAUGGUAUUUGUCGCUAAAAAAGAUAGUGCAAUUCUCAAAGUCUUAGAAGUCAUUUAUUAAAAAGAAAUCUUAACAAAACAUUAUUGUUCUUUCAUAGGCAUGCGUCGGUUUGCUUAGGUUAUGCAAUAGCCGUUAACUAGGGAAGGUCAUUUCGAAAUAGUCUUGGAGAAAAGCAUAUGAUUUUAUAACAUAUGAAUGAUUUUGAUGGACUUUCAUAUGGUUACUUGAGGGCC